rnacentral:misc_RNA from 1 species
AAAAAAAAAAAAAAAAAAACAACUGCUACCCUUUUAUCAUUUCUUGUUUUUUGAAAAAUUUUUUGUGGGUGCACUUGGAUUCAAUGCCACUUAAAGAUCCAUUUUCAUGGAUCUAGUUUUUUUCUUAGUUUUGCACCCACCAAUAGUUUCCAUUAUGAUUUGGUGGAUCCUGUAUUUGUCGUGAUUUUUGUUGCAGGUUUUGAUGCAAGAGGGAGAGG